ensembl:lncRNA
AGUGGUGAGGAAUCAAGUGGUAGAAGACUUCACUGACCUCUUAAUAUAACCUCUAUGACUACAACAGGGUUCCGUGGUAAUGGCCUGGUCACGGCACCUUGACAUGUGGCAGAAACUGAAGGAUCAGGGGUCACAAAUGCAGUCCUACUGGCGAGGAAGGGUUCCAGCAGUGACUGACAGGAGAGGAGGGCUCAUAGGUUCCCAUAUAGAGGAAGGGACUACCACAUGGUUCCUCUUUAAGAAGAUUGGAUCAUGCCCACUGCCUGGCUUUCAUUAUGCAAUCACCGCUCUGUACUUCCUGCAUCCAACCCACAGACUGACUAACUAGCCGUUGGGGACUUCCACUUCCAGCCACAGGACACCCGUUGGACCCAGAGAUGGACCGGCCACAGCCUGAACAACAAUGCUCUUUUCUGGGAUACAAACCUGGGGUGUAAGGCAUGAUGCUCCAGUCGUGCCCUCUCUCAUUAAAGAUCCUCAUUGAGGAUAUAGAAUGUCAAACGCAACAGAAGAGAGGGUGUCAUUUCCAUCUUUCUAUCUAACUGUUCGUUUUAAGUAUUCAUGAGAUGAGCCCUUUUUUUCCCUAGGAACUAGGCAUGUGCGACGUGUGCUAUUUAUAUGGUAAUCAUUUGAGAGGGGUGAAGUUACGGGUCCAUCAAUGGGUUGAACAUGUGUGAGACAGGUGCUGCGAUGGAGAUCUGGCCAAAACAAUCACGUUGCUACAGAAAGGACUGCCUAAUUGAGCUCUGUUUGUGUGGCAUGGCGCUGAACAAUGGCUCAUGGCUGGCAGAUGCAACAGGGGGCCAGUAAUAUCGACAAAGCCCACAGAACAAUACCAGCAGGAGGACAAUGGAGGGUUACUGCAGAGAGCAGAGAUGACAGGAGGAGAGGAGACGAUACAGGAAUUAAAUGGGAAAUGGCAUUUCUAGUUUUUCACGACUGCCUUAUCGCCAGUGAUGGCCUGAAAACGGAAAUCGACUUAACAAAAUUAAAACAAUACUGCUGCAUCUCCUCUCCUGCUCCAGCAGAUGUGGAUCCCCAUGGUGACAGGAGAAGAACACCAGAGACACUGCAGAUGGAUGAGUUACACAUCACAAAGAGGAGGAGACAGAAUGACAGACUGCAGGCGCCAUCUGGGAGCGAGAUGUGCAUUACAGGAGCUAUCCAUAUGGUCGGGGCAUCAUGACUUUGCUCAUCUCAUCUCCCGUCAACAUCUCUUCUGCUCAAGUCCUCUCUCAAAUGAUCCACAUACACAUUCUAAACAGAAAGACAAAAACAUGCUGGUGUUUAUGUAUUUUUGCAGAGAUUAUACAAAUUUACACAUAACAGUCGGUAUUAGAUUAAAAUGUUAAACUCAUGUCUUCAAUACUCUUAAAAUGUACGUUUCCUCAUGAAUCGGGUGCUAUAGAUUAAGACUCUUCAUACAAUCUGAUUAUAGUACAUUUAUUAUAAUACAGAAAAUGAUUUGCCACCUCCAUAUCAUCCCCACCCCCAGUCGUUGUUCAAUGUCGGGAGCUGGGGGCAUUUUUAAACCCAUCUGCUGUCUCGCACCUUCUCAUCUGCCCCCCCCCCCCCCCCCCGGAACCCAAUGGCAUCGUACUCCUCAUCCUGUCCCCAUCCUACCCACCCAUCACCCAGUGCAUAAUAUAUUCCCCCUGUAACCAAAUACUACAGCUCACAUUGUAUUAAGCCACAUUGCAUAUGCUUAUAACACACACAGUGAUGUUUACAGACCUGUCAUCUGGAAUGUACUGUAGGCUAGAUGUAAGAUAAGUGUAUAUAUGUAUAUUUAGAAAUAAACAGUGUCAAUAUUAAAUCUCUGUGUGUUUGCUAAUUAUGACAAAUUCUUAUUCUACUCAAAAUCAACACUUAUUCGUCGCAAUUACUUUUUUUAUUGUCGUCUGUUUUGUUGAUCAGCUUUCUUUAUGUUUACAAAUGGAAAACAUUCUCUGUCCAGUGAUACUUUUCAACGUGUAGCUUUGAGAGAGAGAGAGAGAAAGAGACAGAGAGAGAGAGAGAAAAGAAAGGAAACAGAGAGGAUGUCCUAUGUUGAAACUCAACCUUGACUGUGUACAUCAGACCUCCAAACAACUGAUGCCCUCUUCCUAUCGUGUGUGUGUGUGUCCACGGACCAGCCGGGAGAGGGUCCUAAUCCUUGUGAUUCCACAGAGUGAGAGGCAGAGGGUAUGAGCUGUUGAACAAGAUAAAGAGGAGAGAGGGGAUGGAGGAGAAGAGAGGAGAAGAUGAGAGGAGAACAAAGAUUAGGGGAGGAAGGUGUGAUAAGGAGAUUCCGAGUAGAUGCAGAAGCAUGGCGAAAUAAGAAAGUAGAAAGGGGACACAAGGACAGCAAGUGAAUAAGAAAAUCAGAUUGCUUGUGGGAGAUAGAGAGAGGGGAAGAGGACAAAGCUGAAGGCUGUGUGAGAUAGGCUGGCUAUCCCCCCCAUCUCCAUCUCUCCUAAUCUCACUCUGCCUCCUCCAUAUCUCUCUCCAUCUUGCCAAAUAGUCAGAAAAUUCACCACCAGUGUGGUUGUGGUUUAAUUGGCUUUCAGUAUUCAUAAUUAAAACAAUGCCUUGACGUGCAGCUCCUACAUUGUCUUCCAUUAAUUUCAGAUUGCUCUUGUCAUUUGCACAUUACCCCAUGCAAAAGCAAAUUAAAGUGUUUCGUUUUCUCCCUUCAUAUUCAGCGUCAUCUUCCCCAGCUCUCUCUGAUUAGACUGCUAUUUACCAGAUCGCUAUCCCACAAUUCUACAGCACAUAAAGCAGGCGCAGAGUAGGACCCAGGGGAUGCUGGGAAUAAGGAAAACAAAGGACUCUGGGAUGUCCAGGGCAGUUAAUGACACUUUCAUG